UACGUAGGGUGCAAGCGUUGUCCGGAAUUAUUGGGCGUAAAGAGCUCGUAGGCGGUUUGUCGCGUCUGCCGUGAAAGUCCGGGGCUCAACUCCGGAUCUGCGGUGGGUACGGGCAGACUAGAGUGAUGUAGGGGAGACUGGAAUUCCUGGUGUAGCGGUGAAAUGCGUAGAUAUCAAGCGGAACACCGGUGGCGAAGGCGGCCUUCUGGACAGUGACUGACGCUGAGACGCGAAAGCGUGGGGAGCAAACAGG
rnacentral:rRNA from 1 species